AGAUUGAACGCUGGCGGCAUGCCUAACACAUGCAAGUCGAACGGCAGCACGGGGGCAACCCUGGUGGCGAGUGGCGGACGGGUGAGGAAUGCAUAGGAAUCUGCCCAGUUGUGGGGGAUAACGUAGGGAAACUUACGCUAAUACCGCAUACGACCUACGGGUGAAAGAGGGGGACCUUCGGGCCUCUCGCGAUUGGAUGAGCCUAUGCCGGAUUAGCUAGUUGGCGGGGUAAAAGCCCACCAAGGCGACGAUCCGUAGCUGGUCUGAGAGGAUGAUCAGCCACACUGGAACUGAGACACGGUCCAGACUCCUACGGGAGGCAGCAGUGGGGAAUAUUGGACAAUGGGCGCAAGCCUGAUCCAGCAAUGCCGCGUGUGUGAAGAAGGCCUUCGGGUUGUAAAGCACUUUUGUUUGGGAAGAAAUCCGGUUGGUUAAUACCCGAUCGGGAUGACGGUACCAAAAGAAUAAGCACCGGCUAACUUCGUG
rnacentral:rRNA from 1 species